rnacentral:miRNA from 1 species
GCUCCUAGUUUUUGCUCUCUCUCUCUCUCUCUCUCUCUCUCUCUCUCUCUCUCUCUCUCAGUCAUGCUCCUAGUUUUUGGUAGGUUAGAGAGAGAGAGAGAGAGAGAGAGAGAGAGAGAGAGAGAGAGAGAGAGCAUAUCUGAAUAU